CUUUUCGCCAUCUUUUCUCCUUUCGUGGAGCUGUCGCCAUGAAGGUCGAGCUGUGCAGUUUUAGCGGGUACAAGAUCUACCCUGGACACGGGAGGCGCUACGCCAGGACCGACGGGAAGGUAAAAAGCCGCGUCAGCGUCACCUACCUUCUUGUACUCCGAGGAGGAAAGGCUGGUUUAAUUCGGUUUAGGCGGGUUUAUUCCCCACCUCACCAUUGGCCUCUGGAAGUCUUCGUGGAUGCUCUGUGGACUGGUCGUUAGGACCAGAAACCUCUAAGUGAAUCAGCGUUGAUUAUUGUGAGCCAGGUCGGACAUCAGGAGGGGUUUAUGUAACUGAUGUCCUGGUGUAAGGGAAAUAACUGAGAUACCGAGGUAUCCCUUGGAAUCCCGGGACGGACAAGAGCAGAAUGCUUCCCAGAAGGACGCACCACCCUGUCCUUUGCUAUGAGCUUAGAUUUCCUGCUCUUGAGAAAAGACUAAACGCAAGGACCUUCAUAGUGUGACACAGUUACCUGCCAGUUAUGUGACAGCCUUUUGGUCCUUGUGGGCCUCAGUUUUGUAAAAUGAUA
rnacentral:sRNA from 1 species